GAUGUGAUAAAAAGGGUUGCUUUGGCAUUUGUAAAAAUGUGUGUAACCUGACAAAUUAUUUUUUGCUGCAAAGCCACCAUGUGGUACACAACCCCCUUUUUGGGUAUAAGGGUUGUACAGCCAAUGGUUUGUAUAUAAUUCUAACUCUGUUUAGGACAAAAAUCUGUGAAAUUGCAACGCCUUAUUUCUCAAGACAAUUACCAAAUUUUAAUACCCUGUUUAGGACAAUGAUGGCAAUUUAAUUUUACAGAAGGAUAGUGAUAAUAAGGCUUAAAGGAGCGUCACGGUAAAUCGCAAGACGGGAAGCCAGUGUACUAAUUUUCAAAAUAGCCAAUCAGAGACGUCCAAAACCAAUAUUGGAAGGGAAUCGCGCUAGUUUAUCGUACAGUUUGAUAUGACUUAAACCCCCUGAGAAAUCUCUUAUUUCUUGAUGAAAUAAGCGGCAAUAUGUUUUCAGCUCUUGGAGGCUUGGUCCCUGGAGGCCAUAUAAGGCAAUGCUGUGGUUGGUAUUCGAUGUUUUUUUUUGUUGUAAAUUACGGAGUUAAACGCUUCGGAGCUUUGCGUUGUUGAACAAAUAAAUAACGCUUCUCUCUACUAAAAAAAUAUGUCUAACUUUGCCGGUUAUUCUUCCAAGGUGAUGACAAUAAACAAGCGUUUGUAUGUAGUAUUUGAGUCCCCGGGGUCCUGUGGUGGGGUUCCCGAAAUGUCAGGCGCGGCCGCUAAGCAAGUAAACAUACACUAGAAAAUGGCGGGCAAUCAAGAACGUGUUUUAGCGAUCAGCACUGUUUUUCUUUCGCUAGCAGCUUUAGCAGCAUCGUUCCAAAGCUGUUCUUUUCUUUUAUCGCUUUUAGUAACUCAACAUCGCCAGAAUCUCCAGGCAAUUGCCCACGCUACGCAUCAAUACAAUGCUGCUGUAGCACGGCUUUGGCGCGUUUGAAGAGCUGCUCGAAGACGAGUAAAGUUAUCGCAAAAUCAACAGGAUCAAUGCAUGCGCAUGCGCACUAGAGAGAAAUUCAAUGCAAAGAAACGAAAUGGCGGCCCGAAACGUAUAAACUCAUGGGGAUCUUUGAAGGCUUCUCACACUUGUAUUAUUGUAUCGUGUUAACCUUCGUUGGAUUAUCUUCACGAAAUUGCGAAAUAUAAGGUCUUGGCUGCAUAGAUAAGCUCGCCACUUCUUCAAAAGGCUCUUAGAUAGAUAAUGAAGAAAUUAAGCCAUAGUAUUUUUUUUAUGGUUCAUAUGAAAAUUUAUACGACGUUCUUGAAGUUGAAAAAGUGAUACCGGGCCAAACGAAGAGGGGAACAUAGGUUCUUUCAUGUUUUGUAUGCGCGUUUGAGCCCAAGAUUACGGGAGGUGAAGUUUCAAAGGAGCAUAAAAUACCUGUAUUUCUGCAGGCCAUCGCUUCAUGUUAGAUUAUUUGCAGUUAGAAAAAUCGCGACAGGGUUCGGUACUUAGUUACGGCUGUGACCAUUUCAUUUGGUAAGUUCCAAUAUCCAAAGGUUAUUGUGUGUGUUUCAAACCACUUGUGUUUCAACUACUACUUUUUGGUGUGAUCAUUUACAUCAGUAUAACAGACUGAUGUAUGAUAAUAAUAGUAAGCCCCAUAUAACUAUAUGGACAAAUUCAGGGGUUUGGAGCCACCUGUAUUUAGCCAAUGGAUAGGGGGUGAUGGUAAUAGGGAAUAAAGAAUUUGAAGACCAAAUCUAAACAUACAGCAUUGAUUUAAAUUUCUUUGAUGGUGUACCACCCCUUAAGUCAAAGCUCUUACAUUUAGCACCAUCUUCCCAUUUUAUUGGAUCAAACUAUCCCUCAAACCAGCCCCACCUCCCCUGCUUAGAUCUGCCCCACCCUCCGUGUUAACAGAGGACUUUCUCUUUCUCUCUGUUAGCAGGGAACCCCUGAAGACUAACAUGCAGGUAAUACCUCUCUUACAUCUUGUCCCAGCCCACAGAGAUAUAUCAAAAUGAAAAUGUGACCUUUUUUAAAUCAGAGUAUCACUAAAUAUAAAGUUAAUAAUAUAAAGUGGCCCUCUAAACAUGACAUGAACACAUGCUAUGCUAUUAUGAUUUUUACUCCUUUCAAGUUAGUUAAAAACUAUUGGCUCCAGAGGGGAAUAGGAGUCUCAUUUGAGAAGGUAUUGCUUACAUGCUCUAUGUUUUCAUGCUCUUUUAAAAUAAAAAAAAUGUGGUUGUGAGGAGGGGCAGGUAAUAAGGCCUUUGCUGUAUUAUCACUGGUAAUGAUGGCCUACAAGGUCUAGCUAAUGAAAUAAAUAUAUUUCUGAAUUGCAAGGAUUACUGGAGUAUAACUAAAUAAAUUUGUAAUACUGUUCUUAUACUACUUGUUUUAAAAAACAACCUAAAAAAUAAAAAUAUAUACAAGACAUGUCUAGUAUUGUUCUAUGAAAUAAUUGCAAAGUAUAACAGCCAUUGAAAUAAUACCACGCUGUGAGAAAAGGUUUCCACAACAGCUAUUCUUUUUUCUUUCAAUCACUCAAUGGUAACACAUUUUGCAAUCUGGUAUGAAUAAAAGGUUAUCUUUACUCAUAAAAGCAUUUUUUUAGAAAAAUAACCAGGGGUAUAAGCAGAUUUUUGUAGAAAAUUUAAAAACUGCAUAUAUUUUAUGAUAUAAUAAAUGUAUUAAUUGGUUUAUACCCCGCAAACGACAGCCCAGCGGAAUACAGAGAAAAAGGCCUCUGCUAGCAUGGUGCUUGGUUUACUACAGUCAGAUCAUAUUAGGAGGGCCAGGGAGACUAGUAACAAUUGAAAGCUCUCCUCACAGAUAAUGCCUCUUGUCUGGCAAUGGAACAUUCACAGGGGUUGAUGGUAGGGAUAGUGUUGUUAUUUGCUUAACAUCACAAAACAGCGAUAGAUCAAAAAGCAGUAUGGUUGUAAAUUGUUCCUCAACAUUACUUAAAGGAUUAAAAAAGUUGUAGGGGAGAACAAUCUGGUAUAUUCAUUACACAAUGGUAAUGUAUUCUCAUUUAAAUGCUGUAUGUCAUAAGCUUUGCUUGACUGAGAGCUUUCCAGCUUUUUUAGUGAAUUUUAAGCAACAUUAUUCAUGUAUUUACAUUCCACUGAAUGAGAAGUUUGAUUUGGCAGUUUUCCAUCCAACUUACACAACCAAUGACCCCAAAGAUCAUAUGGCCACCAAGCUUCUGGACAUGGGGAUUUGCCAGUUCACUUGGGGGGAUGGGCGGAGCUACUCCAUUUAGGAUUUUGGUAUCCAAAAAUCUUUUGAGAUUGAACUAUUAUAAAUAUAAUUAACAACUCAGGGAAUGUAUGUUAUCUUUUGGGUUGUUGUUUUGCCUUUUGGGUCAAAUUAUCAGGUUAAUUAUCAUAUGGGUGUGCCUGUUUGUUGAUAGAUGCUUUUAAAAAAUGAAUAAAUUGUAAAGAGUUAAUAUAAUAGUGUUUUGCUUUGGUUUCUAUUUCUAUUCUAUUACAUUUGGGUAUUUACAGUUAAUUGAAUUGUAGACCUUGAUAUAGCUAAACUUUACCAACAAAUACACAAGCACCAAGAACCUGGGUCAGAAAAACAACAACAGUAAAAGUCAAUAAAAGUAAUCUUUUUUUUCCUAUUCAAUAAGUAAUUACUAAUAGUUUAGUAGGGGGAGACAACCGUUCUGAAAAGAACAGUUAGAAUCUGCGUUCGCCCAAAUUUCCGAAUCUUUGUUUCACAAGAUAAGCUGGUCAAUAUCUUUGGCGAACUUAGAGGUUUUAUUAAGUCAGAGAUUUUAAUAAUAAUAACGGUACAGAAAAUUUGUGACAUUGCUUACUACAACAGUACCUCGGCUGGUUCCGGAAAUCUCACCCGCUUUUCACUUCAAAAUUUGAUACCAACAGGUGAGGCGAAAAGUCAAUAGCCGUAGUAUCUAGUCAGUAAUGAAGUUAUAAUGAAGUUAAACUAUUUUCAGCGUGAUCUCAUAGGAACAGUUAAGCUGAUCUUGAUGAUUUUCUUUACGAAACAAUGUCUUCAUGCUUGUUUUCGCGCCAUGUUGCGGUCAUUCUUCUCAUUGAUAGCAGAAAAUCCGGAAAAUGUUUAGCGAAUCGGUAGCAGAUAGCCUUUUGAAUCCUUCCAAGGCGUUUCUUAGUUAAAUCACAUAGGAAAUAUUAGUUCUUUAUGUUUUAAUUUGCUUUUUAUCGUCAUAAAAUUAGCCAAAUUCCUGCCAACAAUCGUGAAAUCCGCCAUUCUCGAAUCCGCUAGUCGCACUUUGACAACUGCGCAUGCGUGACAUUUUUUGAUCCUGUCGGCAAAAUCCAGGUCGAACAGAUCAAUGGUGGAUUAACCUAUACAAUGCCAUUUUACCUCUGUGCGAGUGGAAGAAGAAUUUAAGACUAGAUCGUGAAGGUUUUACGUCUGUAGCUGAUGAAUUGCGCCCAUUUCUCAACCAGGCAGGAGUCCAAGAGGCAUGCAUGUAAUUUCAGUCCCAAGUGUUAUUUACGCCUGUUGUGUCUUCCAUAAUAUUUGUGCUGCGAGGUAUAAAUAUUGAUGAUGAUUUGGUAGCACAUCAAAACGCACAUGAUGCAGCUGCACAACCUCAUAGCCCACCUGACCGGCUGUACUCGUUUAACACUGCAGAAGGUGCUUAUGUACAGAAUAUAAUAACAUCCUACUACAAAGAACACAUCCCUCACUGUUUUUAUUACCCUAUAUUUGAACAAAAUUGAAACAACCACAGUGCCAAAAUCAAGACGGAGGUGGGGGAUAGAUUUCAGAUACAUUUCAAAUUGGUGCCCAUUCUUGGGUGACUAACCACCAGUAUGCUGAAAACUUGGUUCCCCAUAUUGAUUAGAUGCCAAGCCAUUGCCCCUGUACAUGUUACCAUGGUGGUUGAAGUAUGGUGGUGCUUGAACCGGCUGUGAGGCAGCAAGUGCUUGUGCAAGAAUCUCCAUACCAGCAGCAAUCCCUUCACCAAAUGAUGACAGACAGUCUGUCAUCAUUGUUAUCGAGCCCUGGUCACUAUUUUGCCAAAGGUCUCAUCCUCGGUCAUUCUCUUUCCACCAUCCUCUGGUUCCGGGACGGGUCUUUGUAGCACCUCAAGAGCUGAUUGUAGAAUUUAAAUUUUCAUAUCUGCAGCGGUCUCUCGGUCUUUGCGCUUGCGCUUUGAGUAGAUAGUUUUAUUUCCGGUGCUACAUUUCCGGUAAUCUCUUCACUCCAAGUACUCAUCGACGGAUCAACUUCGCUGGAUGAUGCAGUGAAGCUCAUCUGCGAGUAAAACUUCCACUUAGACUUGUAAACUUGUGGUGUUCCAGCCCCAGACUUCUUACUGCCCUCCUCCCUCUUCUUCUCGUGGUUGAACACCGUCGUCAGUGUGUGCAACAGUGUGUUUGGCUCUUAAUGCACUAAGCAAUAACAACUCCCUCGACGUACCAUGACUUUUCGCCAUAAUCGAAAACCAUUUGCAGGUACAACAUCGUCAAAAGGAAAAGAAACUUCUUUAAGCUUGCUUUCGAUAUCUUCAAUCGAACGUAGUUCGCUUUCUUACUCCAUAUUUUGGGACUUUGAUACAUAGAUAACCGAUUGGAUGUAAACAAAAUGGCGAACACAAAGCGCCCCAAAAUACAAGUAAGUCCGCCAAAAUGUUAAGGGGAAACCGCUGGAUUACGGUGAACGUAUUUGUUUAACACAGGAAACCCAAACCUAAGAGAACCACGAGAACUAACAGAACCAAAUGCACCAAGAAUACAUUACACCGACGAUCAGCCCUCUUCAAUUAAUUAUGCGAUUAUUUUAAAGGAGUUCUAUGAAAAAGGAAAAGAUAGAAAAGUGACGUCAAACUAGAAAAAAUAACUCAAUCUUUUUAUUUAUUCUAUGAAUGAAGAAAAGAUAGGUAAGUGGUGUCAAACUAGAAAAAAGAUAACUUAAUCUUUUUAUUCAAUUCUUUUCUUAAAAUAUUUAAAUGUUUUAAAAACAGUGUAUUUAACAACUAGAUACUUAUUUUGUCUAAAACAGACUUAAGCUGAUCCAAGCUAAUGUGUUUAAAUGCAUUUAUACUAUUCCUAUUCCAUAGCCGUGGGUUUCUAAUUAGCAAGCGCGAGUCCCUUCUUUUGUCUCUAUAAUAUUGGCCUGGUAUUUACUUUAUUGUCCUAGGUUCACAAUAGGCGCGGGCGUUCGGUGUCUAAUUACUGCGCUAGCUCCCGUUCUAUUGUUCUUUUACGUUUUCUCUUUCUAAGAAUAAAUUCUUCUGAAAUGCAAAUCAUCGGAAAAGUCCUUAUAAACUGCUCGGCGCGAGUAAGGUGUCACCACUUGGCCGAAAGAACUCCAUACAAAUAGAUCAACCAAUACUUUUACACUAACUAUGGCUAUGCGAAAGCAAAUGAAAAUUUUUAAGCAGGGUCUGUUUUUUUUCGAGAGCGACAAAACACUUUGUCGUCUCCCGACUAAAAAAGUUAAGAAAGUGAUGGAGGGGGAGGAUCAACGAAGUUGGGAGCAUCGUUGAGGUCGACUUCGACGGGGAGUUGUGAGAGGCUGAGAUUGUCGCUCUCAGCGACGACCCUACUGUUCUUCGCCAAGAGGUAGAAAAAUUCAUUAGGGAAAACAGUGACCGGUUUGAGCAACUUAAUGAAAAAAAGAGGGUUAGACAAGAAGGCAAAGGCGGGUCUUCUAAGAACAAGGAGUCGAACUGCGGACGAAAAAAGAAAAAAACAAGAGAAGAGGCUACUGUUGUUGCGGUUUACAGCCCGACAAGCACAGUACCCCCCGCCACCAAAGAGACAGUCGCCUACCAAUCGCUGAGACCUCGAUAGAAGCCUCGCCUGCUCAAUCCAUCUCCUCCUACUUGUCCCCGUUUGCUAGACGGUCUUUGUACAGUCCCAUCCGCCCCCGAUACAACAGCCCGCCGAGAGUGGACAAGAUAGCAGACCUGCAAAACUCGAUACAGCAGAUGGAGUUGACCCUGUUCAGGCACGGCCAACAGCUAAACCGCAUCGAGGCCAUGCUGAAGGAUAUACAGGGCCAGCAAAGCGUCAGCCACAGCCUGCAUACAACUAUCUUAGAUUCCCGUUGAAACAACUCAACCCCACCCCCACCGCCACCAUCAGCAACAUCCACUCCAAUGGCGUGCAGCGUCCAGAACUUCGCUGUGCGGCUUCUGAGGGAGCGAUGCUCCAAGGAAGAGUUGGUGGGGAGAAAUUUGGCUGGUGCCCGCGGCAAACCUAUGGUCAACGCCGACAAAAUAGCAGAAAUAAAAGAAACUGUGUUUGUCCACUUUCCCACCGCCCCUUCAGCGUGUGAAGCAGUCUGGCGCCAGUGCCACAAGACAAUGGACGCCUACCUGCGACGACUGACCUCAAGUGAAAAGUAACUGAAAAUGUAUUUUAUAACCGUAUCUUAUGCUUCUGUAAUUGUAAAUCUUUAGAAAUUGUUAUAUUAAAAUAAUUUUGAUAAUG